AUGUACAUAGUAUAUGUUGAUAUAUACAGGAUUCUGUACUCAGUUGUAGAGACGGGCAUCUCGACGCUCUCAUCUCCCCAUCUUUACAAAACAGUCUGGUACCAGUGUCCCAUCAAGAUACUCGAGUCAUGGCUCGUCUUGUUGUGGUGUUAUUCAUCUGCUUUGCUCUGUCCUCGCUGUCUUGGUCCAUGCCCGCUAAUGACUUGUCCAACGAGUCACCAGAAAAGCAGCACCUGGAUCACACACACACGGACACCUGCUGUAUAGUAUGUCGUCGUUAUUGCACAUGCUGCUACGCGCGCCGCUAGCUAGUGACGAUUGAGAGUGCUAGACUGUGGCAUCUGGAACUCUAGAGGACUCGCAUCCGCUGAGCGUAAUACUUCCUAGCAAGAUGUAAUAGCAAUUAGCAGUUUCGUUGGCCUCUGUUUGUGAAUGUUCUUGGUACAUGUAUGAAUCAUCGAA